AUCUAAACGCAUUUUAUAAUUCAACUGUCAAAAAAGUAAACGUAAACCCGAUCCAACAUUUCUAUAAAAGUAACUUUUUAGUAGAUUUCAUGGAAAAGUUUUCGAAAGUAGAGAAAAUCGGCGAAGGAACAUAUGGCGUUGUGUAUAAAGCAAAAGACCGUGAAACUGGAAAUGAAAUCGCAUUAAAGAAAAUCAAACUAGAAAAUGAGCCUGAGGGCGUGCCCUCCACAGCCUUGCGCGAGAUCUCAGUGCUGCGCACGCUCCGGCAUGAAGGCGUGGUCCGGCUGCUCGACGUGCUGCUGGCAGACAGGAAGCUGUUCCUCGUGUUCGAGUACAUGCACAUGGACCUCAAGCGGCUCAUGGACCUCACGAGGGGCCCGCUGCGCCCUGAGCUCGUCAAGAGCUACGUGCGCCAACUAGCCGCAGGCCUCGCGUACUGCCACGCCGCGCGCGUCCUCCACCGAGACCUGAAGCCACAAAACCUUCUCGUGGACACGGCGGGACGCAUCAAGCUCGCGGACUUCGGCCUCGCGCGCGCCUUUGCUCUUCCUGUCCGGGCCUACACACACGAGGUGGUGACGCUAUGGUAUCGAGCGCCCGAGAUCCUGCUGGGCGCCAAAUUUUACUCCACCGCCGUCGACGUGUGGAGCCUCGGUUGCAUCUACGCUGAAAUGAUGAGCGGACGUACGCUGUUCCCGGGCGACAGCGAGAUCGACCAGCUGUUCCGGGUGUUCCGCGCGCUGGGCACCCCGGGCGGCGCGCUGUGGGCGCGGGCGCGGCGUCUGCCCGACUACCGCGCCGCCUUCCCGCGCUGGCCGCCCCGGCCGCCCCGCGACCUGCUGCCCCAGGCCGCGCAGCUGCUGCCGCACGCUGCCGACCUGCUGGACGCGCUGCUGAGGUACUGCACCCCUCCCCCUGCCCGACUACCGCGCCGCCUUCCCGCGCUGGCCGCCCCGGCCGCCCCGCGACCUGCUGCCCCAGGCCGCGCAGCUGCUGCCGCACGCUGCCGACCUGCUGGACGCGCUGCUGAGGUACUGUACCCCUCCCCCUGCCCGACUACCGCGCCGCCUUCCCGCGCUGGCCGCCCCGGCCGCCCCGCGACCUGCUGCCCCAGGCCGCGCAGCUGCUGCCGCACGCUGCCGACCUGCUGGACGCGCUGCUGAGGUACUGUACCCCUUCCCCUGCCCGACUACCGCGCUGGCCGCCCCGGCCGCCCCGCGACCUGCUGCCCCAGGCCGCGCAGCUGCUGCCGCACGCUGCCGACCUGCUGGACGCGCUGCUGAGAUACGAGCCAGCCGAACGUCUGUCCGCGCGUGCCGCCCUGCAGCACCCGUUCCUGCAGGACGCCCGGCUGAGCGCCCCCGACAUCCCGCCGUCGGCCGCCUCCGCGUCGCGCCCCGCCGCCGACCUCCACCUGUGAUCAACCUC